GUAGCAGGGAACGACGACGCCAUUAGGUCGUUUGGUUUGGUUCGUGCCGGUUAUUGCACGCUUGCGGAGUUCUUCCGAAUGUUGCUCUUCGAUGUGGUUUUAAGUCCUCCGCGAACGGUUCAUCGUCGGAGAUCUUCAACCGGUCUCGCUCUCAACUGGGUGUGCACGCGGAGGAAGUGGAUGCACUUGGCCAAGUUCCCAAGUAUUCAACUUUGCAACAGAGAAGAAGCAGAGGUGACAAAAGCUGAAGCAAGUCUCCCUUCAAGGAUGGCUUUUUGAAGUACCACACUAACCCACCAGCUUGCAAGCCCACCUCUCAUCUUGAGCCAAUAGCAGCGGUUGAGUGGAAAGAUGUCUGCGUGAAUACCUGCAAGAAACAGAAAAAGUGAAGCUAAAACCUUCAAGUGAGUGCACAUCAGCUUGCAUAGCUUGCCAGAGACGAUAUGUUCAGCUUGAAUGUGUGAAAACAGACGGCGCUCUCAAUCCCGAAAGCAGCUCCGGGACAUCUACCACACUUGACCGCAGCUCGCAGUCAUGCGAACAGUCAUACCCUUGGUGCGUCGUGUACUCGACCACAAUUUUUGUUGUGGUGGUUGGUAUCGUCAGUGCCUUGUGCGAGUGCUCCCUGUGUGCCUUGGAUGAGGCAUUUCAGAAUGCACCAAGGAGUGUUCCAAAGUGCACCACUGCCAGCAGAGCCUGUUCAUCUUAACCAGCUGUUGGUUGGCGAUAUUGCCAAUGGAGUGUUAAAGAGGCUUUUCAAAGUUGUUCCGUGCUGUGGUUGCUUCAAGUGGGGUGUCUGCAGGUGUCCUCAGUCUUCAGAGUGUUGUGGUGGUUUGAAGGUGAGAAUGCUGCCGGUGUUUGUGGUCGCCCAUUAUGUGAGUGAGGUGCCUGUGUGUGUGUUUAUUGGCAGUGUUAAAAAUUCAGCACGUCCGAGCCGACAUGGAUACCGCUUUAUGAGUGGCUGCAUGAUCGGCGGAAGGGAAUAUGUGCAAAUGAAGUCUCAAGGUGUAAUGUAUCCUCUCUGCUUGUAAUGCAGAGAGCAGUGCCCCAAGGAAUAUGUGUUGUGGUGAUUUGUGCAGUGCUGUGAAGUGAUAGUGUACGGAAGGCAAGGCCCUGCAGUGAGGUGAGGUGAAGUGACCCACUUCCCGGAAAGUGGUCUAGGCAGUUAUCCCUCCGCUGCAGUGAUCACGUCGUCAAUUGCAAGCAUUUCCUGCCCUGCUGAUCUACUGGGCAACAUGCUCUGCAAAGUCUCCUAGACCUUCAACAAGGCUACCAAAGGUCGACAAUCCUACUUUUCCAAGGGGCAGAUCGCAAGAUGUGUUGUGCGGUGGUGUGGAGUGCGGUGUUGUGUUGCGGCUUGUUUGACUGUCGGCACAUUUGAAGCUGGUGAAUGUGCAGUGCGAGUGCAAUCAUGUUGGCUCAAAAGGCAUCUCACGUGCUGCAGUCUUCUGUGCAUGUCGGCAUGUUUCACAAAGCGUGAUGUGUGUGUGUGUGGUGAACGUCUCUGGCGAGUCUUCGGAAAAGAGGAAAGGCAGAGCCUUCAUGAAGUGUGAUCAAAAGGCGACGUCAACUUUGUGUCAUCUAAGCGCCUGCUUGAAGAAGAAACUUCUUCAAACAGGUGCCUCAAUCUUGGCUUCUACCAAAGAUUCCGUGGAGCUUUAGUGGAUUCCGCAUAACUAAGCUAAACACUCACAGUUGCAACAUCGAAAUGGAACUGCUGCAAGGUAGACAGUUGAGCAAGGCAUAAUUUUAGAAGCACAACAACAUGUGGAAUGGCAGGAGGAGAUGUUUUUAACACACAAGUCUGCAUGGCAGAACCUCUGAAAUAUGAUGAUUCAAUAACUCUCCAGAAGUCUACCAGGGCCACUCACCACUGAUGCAGUUACAUGUCCCCAUGUAAGGCAGCCUGGGUGUGAAUAGGAAAGUCCAGGUUACGUGCAUUUCACUGUUGAGAUGGGAAAAUAUGUGCAGUAGUGCCUUGGCAGAAACCAAACUAUUGACUUGUGAGAAGCUACAAAGAAAAUUCUGGAAGUUUCCAAAGCCAAAUCAACGAAAGCUGUUGGGCAUGCAUCAGUGGAGGACUGAAGAUUAAUUUAGACCACCCAGGGUUCUUUUGGUGUGCAACCAAACUCUUGCAUGGCACCCACCUUGUCCAUGACAAGCCUCCUUCAAAUUGGGGGCACCUUGGUCAGCACGCAAGCCUGCCAACUGGCACUAUGGCUCCCCCAAGAGCGUCUGCAUGGUGGCGAGCAAAAAGGCAAGAGAACACCGAGAACAGAAGAUCUGAGUUUUAGAUCUCCAGAGUUAUGGAAUCACCUUCAUUCUACAAGUGGAGUGUCUUGGUUGCAGCAUGCAGUGCGGUUUGGUGCAGUGGUGUAUGCAGCGCAAGUCCAGUGCAAUAGUGUGUGCAGUGCAGUGGUGUGUGCAAGAAUGUGCUGUGCCAUUGCAGAAGACGAGUGAGGGUGCAGUGCAAGUGAAGAGGUGCGUUUGGUGCUAGACAGUGCUUCUAAAAGUCCACUUCUCUCUUUUGAAGCAAAUCUCGUGAGCGGCAAUGGGCUUAGUACUGGGCCAGUUCUGAGCAAUGUCAGAAAAGGUCCACACUGGUUGAUCUGCAGCACAAUAUUGCAGAUAUCCUUGCUACCUGUGAAGGUCAGUUAGCCCUUCCUGCUUAUCUCUUUGCCCUACAAAAGUUGAGUUAUCCUAGACUUUCUAGCAGAUUAACCUCCUAGCAACAAGCUUAUUAAUGCACUUUUCUUUAGUAAUCCUUAAUGUAAAUCUGCAAGUUGAUUCAUCCUAGACUUUUUGGCAGAUUAACUUCUCAGCAACGCCCACAUUUUUUGAAUGUAAUUGUAAUGUAGACUUCAAAUGUUUUUUUUUUUUUUUUUUCCUACAAGUUUAUAUAUUCUAGGCUUUUUGGAUGUAGUCCCUAACCAAUUUAUGCAAUUUACCUGUGAAGUUUGUGUUUUUCAGGUGCUGCUCCUCAUGGGUCCAUUAAGAUUUGUGACUGGCAAACAAAUUUGAGCUAUUUCCUUGUAAAUAACGUCGGUUGCAACUAGAUAUCGUGGGUCUCAGAUCUCUCACUGGAACCUCAUACACUCUUGGAAACUAACAUUAGUUCUAAGUGGGCAGCAAGAGCACAUCCACUGGAACGCAAUCUUGCUCUGCAAUAACCCACUCCUACCAUGCUUCGUUAGCACCCAUUAAACAAGUUUGCAGAUCCUCUUCUGAAUGGAAAGCUCCGAAUAAAGAAGGACGAAGAAGGGGACAGAGGGGGACAAAAAGAGAACUCCGAGUUCUUUUUCGUCCUCGUUUAUUCGGCGCUUUCCAUUCAGUGAUGCACCAACUAGCCCAUUUUAUCUAUUCUACUACAAACCCUCUUCACCAGUAAUAUACUUGGACUGAUCUAUCUUAACCUCAGCUUUGUGAAAUUUACAUCUAUGCCAGCCAGGACUUAUAAUCACUCACCAAAACCGACUCUGCUGUCAGCAGGUGCGUGUUCCAAAGUCUGUGUUUCAGCUACUCCAGCAGAGGAGGUGGUUUCAAGUCGUCGCAGUCUUCAGUACAGCCGCGAGCUGUGGAACCUGAACAUCACUCACAGCGUCACAAACUGCGGGCGCUGUGGAUGCCAUAUCAUCUGCCACUGCCCUGUUGCAUCAGCAAAACAAUUCCACGAGUGGAUACUCCUUCA